rnacentral:rRNA from 1 species
CCUACGGGGGGCAGCAGUGGGGAAUAUUGCGCAAUGGGCGAAAGCCUGACGCAGCGACGCCGCGUGAGGGAUGAAGGUCUUCGGAUCGUAAACCUCUGUCAGCAGGGAAGAAUGGUCACUGUGCUAAUCAGCAGUGAAUUGACGGUACCUGCAAAGGAAGCACCGGCUAACUCCGUGCCAGCAGCCGCGGUAAUACGGAGGGUGAGAGCGUUAAUCGGAAUUACUGGGCGUAAAGCGCUCGUAGGCGGUAUGUCAAGUCAAGGGUGAAAUCCCCGCGCUCAACGUGGGAACUGCCUUUGAAACUGGCAAACUGGAGUGGGUGAGAGGAUAGUGGAAUUCCAGGUGUAGGAGUGAAAGCCGUAGAUAUCUGGAGGAACAUCAGUGGCGAAGGCGACUAUCUGGCACAUAACUGACGCUGAGGAGCGAAAGCGUGGGUAGCAAACAGGAUUAGAUACCCCAGUAGUC